UUCCGAAUUUGGUCGACAACAGAAGUUUGAUCCUGGCUCAGACGAACGCUGGCGGGCAGGCUUAACACAUGCAAGUCGAACGCCCCGCAAGGGGAGUGGCAGACGGGUGAGUAACGCGUGGGAACGUACCCUUUACUACGGAAUAACUCAGGGAAACUUGUGCUAAUACCGUAUGUGCCCUUCGGGGGAAAGAUUUAUCGGUAAAGGAUCGGCCCGCGUUGGAUUAGCUAGUUGGUGGGGUAAAGGCCUACCAAGGCGACGAUCCAUAGCUGGUCUGAGAGGAUGAUCAGCCACAUUGGGACUGAGACACGGCCCAAACUCCUACGGGAGGCAGCAGUGGGGAAUAUUGGACAAUGGGCGCAAGCCUGAUCCAGCCAUGCCGCGUGAGUGAUGAAGGCCCUAGGGUUGUAAAGCUCUUUCACCGGUGAAGAUAAUGACGGUAACCGGAGAAGAAGCCCCGGCUAACUUCGUGCCAGCAGCCGCGGUAAUACGAAGGGGGCUAGCGUUGUUCGGAAUUACUGGGCGUAAAGCGCACGUAGGCGGGUAUUUAAGUCAGGGGUGAAAUCCCAGAGCUCAACUCUGGAACUGCCUUUGAUACUGGGUACCUAGAGUAUGGAAGAGGUAAGUGGAAUUCCGAGUGUAGAGGUGAAAUUCGUAGAUAUUCGGAGGAACACCAGUGGCGAAGGCGGCUUACUGGUCCAUUACUGACGCUGAGGUGCGAAAGCGUGGGGAGCAAACGAAAUUAGAUACCCUGGUAGUCCACGCCGUAAACGAUGAAUGGUAGGAUUCCGGAAUCCUAGAUAAAGGAGGGCAGCUUACGCCUGGAUCAUAAGCUAAUGGACGCA
rnacentral:rRNA from 1 species